AAUUUGAGAAAUUGGAUUUUGAAAUUUUGAAUCGAAUUAAUUUGAAAUUAACUAAUUUAGAUUUUAGUUAAUUUUUGAAUUAAUUAAAAUUAGAAAUUAAAAUUGAAAAUUAAAUUGUUAGUAGAAACAUCCAAACUUCUCUUAGUAUGAGGUGAAUUCUUCCAAUUCACACACAUUGCCCAUUAAUUCCAUGCAUUUGAAGUGGCAUCAGCUGGACUCUUGAAUGCCUGCAUGAAAGGGAAUGAUAAAACUUUUCAAUUUUGAGAUUGAAAGAGAGAUGACACUAGUGAAAACUAGUUUCUGCAGAAAUUGUUUUUCCCUAUUUUAAAACCCAAACCAAACCCUUCACAAAUUCAACCCAAUUGUGAGUUCUACCACUCAAAUUCAAGGCUGGGAAUAGUAGAGAAUAUCUCUUGAUGGUUCAUGACUUCAAUUGGAGAAGAUUGCAGCUCAAAUUCGUGUUUGAAGAAGAUCUUCAAAGGUAUGUGUUGAAACAAUCUUAAUACCCUAUGAACAUGCUUAUUUUGAUGUCAAAAUUAAGAAAUUAGAAUGCUUAAUGAUCAUGUUUUCUUCCGCUGCAUGUUUCUGUAAACCAACAAAUUUGAUUACUGGUAAGGGGCCUAACACGAGAAGUCGAAGACCACAACAAGGGUAAAUAAUAACGGUAGACCACUACAAUAACAGAAUAGUGGACAAAGAGGUGGAGGUAGAGGUGGUCGUGGAAGAGAAAGAUGGUGUUGGAAUGGUAACAAUUGCCCCAUCUGCCAAAUCUACUCCAAAUAUGGUCAAAUCUACAACAAGCAAAAUUCACCCCAAAUCAAACUUCAAGUCAUAACAAUAAAGGGCAACAAUAAUUUCUGACAAAUUUUUCCAUGGUCGGAAUUGUUUCUCCUCUGGUCCAGUGCUGAAUCAAGCUUUUAUAGCAACCCAAGGCUCAAACCUGUUUCUAGCACUAGAUCAGUUAUUGACCCAAAUUGGUAUGUCAACAGUGGUGCAACAAACCAAUCCCAACAACAUGGGCAACUCAUCUGAAUAUGGAGGAUAUUCACACAGGUAAGGUGGUGUUGAAAAGAGCUUAACGAUGGUUUGUAUCAGAUUGGAACAACUGGGGCAACUAGUAGUGCUUCAAUUUACAUUAAAGAGGGUAAUAUAAAUAGGGUGUCCAAGACAAUUAUGCAUAGAAAGUUUGGACACCCAUUUUUAAAUAUUUUGAAUGAGAUAGUUAAGAUAUGUAAUCUUCGGUGAAUGUCAAUGAAGAAGUUAUUUUUUGUGAA